rnacentral:rRNA from 1 species
AGAAGCCGUAGGGAGGUCCGGGGAGAGUUGUCUCUUCUCUAUAAGCGUUCGAGUUCCCUGGAAGCCUCUAGGAGGGAGAUAGGGUUUGGAACGCGAAGAGCACCGCACUUACGGCGGUGUCCGGAUCUUCCCCUCGGACCUUGAAAAUCCGGGCGAGGGCCACGAGGAACACCGCGCCGGCUCGUACCCAUAUCCGCAGCAGGUCUCCAAGGUGAAUAGCCUCUAGUCGAUAGAAUAAUGUAGGUAAGGGAAGUCGGCAAACCCGAUCUGUAACUUCGGGAUAAGGAUUGGCUCUGAGGAUCGUGGCGCGCCGGGCUUGGUCGGGAAGUGGAGCGGUGCCAACGUGCCGGGCCUGGGCGAGGCGAAAGGU